GAGUGGCGAACGGGUGAGUAACACGUGGGUGAUCUGCCCUGUACUUUGGGAUAAGCCUGGGAAACUGGGUCUAAUACCGAAUAUGACCACUUCUUGGAUGGGGUGGUGGAAAGCUUUUGCGGUAUGGGAUGAGCUCGCGGCCUAUCAGCUUGUUGGUGGGGUAAUGGCCUACCAAGGCGUCGACGGGUAGCCGGCCUGAGAGGGUGUACGGCCACAUUGGGACUGAGAUACGGCCCAGACUCCUACGGGAGGCAGCAGUGGGGAAUAUUGCACAAUGGGCGCAAGCCUGAUGCAGCGACGCCGCGUGGGGGAUGACGGCCUUCGGGUUGUAAACUCCUUUCGCAACCGACGAAGCUUUUGUGACGGUAGGUUGAGAAGAAGCACCGGCUAACUACGUGCCAGCAGCCGCGGUAAUACGUAGGGUGCGAGCGUUGUCCGGAAUUACUGGGCGUAAAGAGCUCGUAGGUGGUUUGUCGCGUCGUUUGUGGAAUACCGCAGCUUAACUGCGGGGUUGCAGGCGAUACGGGCAUAACUUGAGUGCUGUAGGGGAGACUGGAAUUCCUGGUGUAGCGGUGGAAUGCGCAGAUAUCAG
rnacentral:rRNA from 1 species